rnacentral:rRNA from 1 species
UAGGGAAUCUUCGGCAAUGGACGAAAGUCUGACCGAGCAACGCCGCGUGCGUGAAGAAGGUUUUCGGAUCGUAAAACUCUGUUGUUAGAGAAGAACAAGGACGUUAGUAACUGAACGUCCCCUGACGGUAUCUAACCAGAAAGCCACGGCUAACUACGUGCCAGCAGCCGCGGUAAUACGUAGGUGGCAAGCGUUGUCCGGAUUUAUUGGGCGUAAAGCGAGCGCAGGCGGUUUCUUAAGUCUGAUGUGAAAGCCCCCGGCUCAACCGGGGAGGGUCAUUGGAAACUGGGAGACUUGAGUGCAGAAGAGGAGAGUGGAAUUCCAUGUGUAGCAGUGACAUGCGUAGAUAUAUGGAGGAACACCAGAGGCGAAGGCGGCUCUCUGGUCUGUAACUGACGCUGAGGCUAGAAAGCGUGGGGAGCAAACAGG